rnacentral:rRNA from 1 species
CGUGUAGGCGGUGCGGUAAGUUGGGCGUGAAAUCCCCGAGCUUAACUCGGGUGGGCCGUUCAAGACUGCCGUGCUAGGGUGCGGGAGAGGGAAGUGGAAUUUCCGGUGUAGCGGUGAAAUGCGUAGAUAUCGGGAGGAACACCUGCGGCGAAGGCGGCUUCCUGGACCGUAACCGACGCUGAGGCGCGAAAGCUAGGGGAGCAAACAGGAUUAGAUACCCUGGUAGUCCUAGCCCUAAACGAUGAGCACUGGGUGUGGCCCCUCACGAGGCCGUGCCGAAGCUAACGCAUUAAGUGCUCCGCCUGGGGAGUACGGUCGCGAAGGCUGAA